UCUCAUCUCCCAUUCUCAGAGACCAAAAUCCCUAACCCUAAUCCGCCGCCCUUUUUUCCAUCGCAUCCGCCCAGCGGCACCACCUCCAAUCACCCUCAUCUUAACACCCUGGAACCCCCUCACCUCCCUCUUCCCAAAUCUCUGACUACUUUCCCUCGAAUCCCACCACAAACGCUCGAAUGUCAAAUCUAAAUCCAAGAUCUAAAAAAUCCUAAAACCCACAAAUCUACCCGAGUUCACCCCAAAUGACCCUUCACCUAUUUCCCGCCCCAAAACACGUUCUUGCUUCCCGUCAAUUUAGCUCGUCAGUGGUGGAGCAGAAGUCUGAAAUGCCCUAGGUCUUGCCUUGUGUUUUUUUCCUGGUCCAGCAGGGUUGAGUGACCCCAAACCGUCAUUAACCGUUUGUCUUUUGUUAAGGACAAUCGAUUAACAUCUGUCAAAGGUUCACUUUCUUCUUCAAAAGUUUUAUUCGAGUGCAUGCGGGUUCUUGCUGAGGCAGGUUUUAGAUAAUUUCUUUAUGUCGAUUACUUUCCGUUUGAUCUUCUCUUUUGUUUGUUUGUUUGUUUUCCCGUUUAUCUCUUCAGAAGUUUCGUUUCUUGUUUAAUUGCAUUACGUCUCUGGUUUUUAGGUUCAUUAGUUAACUUGUCUGCUAAACUAUUAAUGACAAUCAGCUUCAUAGGGUUUGAGCAUAAUUUGUUUUCAAUUCAUGGGAUUUUCUUCUGUCUGCUAGGUUUCAUUUUUAUGUUCGAGAAUUAAUUCUGGAACUGAAGCAUUGAGAUUAGCCAAGUAUAGGUCAUCAUUUGCAUUAAUUCCUGUUUCAAGAGCAUUUUUUAGUCCAUGUUUAUAUGUGAAGGAUCUUAGAUUUAAUUCAGACUAAUCUUUCAUGGUUUAAUAUGAUUCAACAAUUGUUUUGAAUUUCACUGAUUUUCAAUCCAGCUGAAAGUGUCAGCUCGUUUGCUUAUUGUUUAUUGUGAUUGUGAGCAUUCAGAACUUAGGAGGGGGUAAGUGUAUAACUAGGAAAACUUUAGGGGUAGUUUUGGGGAUUGGGUUAACUUGAAGAAUCUUUUAAUAACUGAUUGUGAAGCUUCCUAAAUGGACAACUGCCCAAAAUUACUAGGGAAAACAGGCUGCAAAUUAAAAAUAUCUGAAGGAAAUGGACAGCUGUCCAAAAAUCAAUUUUAAAAGAUGCCCGGUGAGGGUAUUUUGGAAAAAUCUGAUUGCCUUGCCUUGGAAGGCACACAACAGACCCCUAUCCUUAUAAAUGGAGCCUUCUUUUCACUCAAUACACAGUUUUUUGGGCUCCCUAGAGAGACUAAAAAGAUAAGAAGAAAUACUAAAUUUCAGAAUCAAUUAAUUUCCUUCUGAAAAUUCCGAGAAACUGCUGAAAAUUGUUUGGACUAUUUUUGAUUUCUUGGUUUUGGUUCUCUGAAUCUUCUGUUAAUCUAGAAUUUCUGGAAAAAAAACUUCCAGAUUGUGCAUCUGGUUAGAGAUGUGGCUUAAGCUUUGGUUUGGAGUUGGUUUUGGAUUGCCUCUACGAUUCAAUUGAUUUUUCCUGAGCUGAUUUCACUGUUUUAUUGACUGAAUCUGGGCUGAUUUCUGCUACUGCUUGCUGUUGAUCCUUCACUUCUUUUGGUUUUUCCCUUGUUCAUUACCAGGUAUUUCCUUCAAACCAGGGAUAGAAAUGAAGUUUGUUAUGGCUGUUAUGUUGAAGUCGUGUAAUUCAAGUUGAAGAAACUGAUUGUUGCUCAUUCUCUGUUGCAUUACCAGCUUAAAAAUCUAUUAUAUUUUGUUUUCAUGUUCCUCCUAGAUUCAUAUGAGUUAUUUAAUUUCUUGUCAUUGCCUUUUAGGUUCUGUUACAGUGUUGUAUAAAUUUUCCUUUUCACUUGCUUAGUUUAAAUGCUAGAAGGUUUAUAAUCACAUGUAUAAGUGGUAGAGAACUAAUGCAAGGAGAUUUCAGUAGCAUCAAAUAUGUUUCAGGUCUGAUCUGGCCUGUUGAAGCCAGUGUUGUUCUGCAAAUGUGCCUAAAUUUGUUUUGAGAUUGAUGUCCCUAAAGUUUGAAAUCAGGAACUUUCAUGUUGAGGUUUGCACUAGGUGAUGAAUUUUAUAUGGUCUGCCUUAUCUUUGAUGAAAUCAGCUGUUUAAUAUAGAUUGAAAUUUGAUAACAGGGGCAUGAAUGUAAGAUGGUUUUUAAAAGCAUUUAAUGUUUCAUGCAUGUC
rnacentral:lncRNA from 1 species